rnacentral:rRNA from 1 species
UACAGAGGUCUCAAGCGUUGUUCGGAUUCAUUGGGCGUAAAGGGUGCGUAGGCGGCGCGGUAAGUCGGGUGUGAAAUCUUGGAGCUUAACUCCGAAACUGCAUUCGAUACUGCCGUGCUUGAGGACUGGAGAGGAGACUGGAAUUUACGGUGUAGCGGUGAAAUGCGUAGAUAUCUGGAGGAAUACCGGUGGCGAAGGCGGCAUCCUGGACCGACAUUGACGCUGAGGAGCGAAAGCCAGGGGAGCAAACGGG